AGAAAUACCAAAAAAUAAGCUUCUAACUUAAUUAUAAAGCAUAAACAUGUUUGUAUUUCUA
rnacentral:tRNA from 1 species